rnacentral:tRNA from 1 species
CGGUUCGUAGCAUAAGAGUCUAUUGCACCCGCCUUUUAAGCGGAGAGGUGCUGGUGCAAUUCCAGCCGAGCCGACCA